rnacentral:rRNA from 1 species
CGGGUGCACUGAUCCAGCCGGGCCUUUCCCUCUGUGGAACCCCAUGGCCUUCACUGGGCUGUGGUGGGGAAACAGGACUUUUACUUUGAAAAAAUUAGAGUGCUCCAGGCAGGCCUAUGCUCGAUACAUUAGCAUGGAAUAAUAGAAUAGGACGUGUGGUUCUAUUUUGUUGGUUUCUAGGACCGCGUAAUGAUUAUAGGGACAGUCGGGGGCAUCAGUAUUCAAUUGUCAGAGGUGAAAUUCUUGGAUCUAUUGAAGACUAACUACUGCGAAAGCAUUUGCCAAGGAUGUUUUCAUUGAUAAGGAACGAAAGUUAGGGGAUCGAAGACGAUCAGAUACCGUCGUAGUCUUAACUAUAAACUAUGCCGACUAGGGAUCGGACGAUGUUAUUCUUUGACGCGUUCGGCACCUUUCGAGAAAUCAAAGUGCUUGGGCUCCAGGGGGAGUAUGGUCGCAAGGCUGAAACUUAAAGAAAUUGACGGAAGGGCACCACCAGGGGUGGAACCUGCGGCUUAAUUUGACUCAACACGGGGAAACUCACCAGGUCCAGACACAGUGAGGAUUGACAGAUUGAGAGCUCUUUCUUGAUUCUGUGGGUGGUGGUGCAUGGCCGUUCUUAGUUGGUGGAGUGAUUUGUCUGCUUAAUUGCGAUAACGAACGAGACCUUAACCUGCUAAAUAGCCCGUACUGCUUUGGCAGUUCGCCGGCUUCUUAGAGGGACUAUCGG